UGUAGAAUGUGGGCGAGAGCUGUGAAAACAGCUGGUGACCGCACGGUGAGAGCAGAGCAGUGCGGUUGAUGGGAAGACAACAAGCAAGCAUCAUGAAGGCUUUGCUAAACCUGGUUUGGGCAUAUUUUCUCUUAAAACAGGUUGUGGGGGAAUAUGGGAUGGCCCAUUUCAGUGACAAGGGUCAAGGCAAAGGAAAGGAUUACUGCAUCUUCUUCAACUCCCAGUGGGCUCGUCUACCUCGGGACCUCAACAAAGCAUCUCGUCUGGAGACCUAUGACCUGACACCGUCAGUCCUGUGUUUCCCAUCAGACGUCCCCGAUGGUGGCUUCCCCAAUCGUAUCCCCAUGGUGAUGCGGGGGAACUGCACCUUCUAUGAGAAGGUCCGCCUGGCUCAGCUCAAUGGAGCUAAAGGCCUGCUCAUCGUCAGCAAAGACAGACUGACCCCACCGGCAGGAAACAAGAGUCAGUAUGAGGAGAUUGACAUCCCUGUGGCAUUGCUCAGCUACACUGACAUGCUGGACAUUAGGAAGAUGUUUGGACAGGGCAGAGAGGUGGCCAUGUACGCGCCCAAGGAGCCCGUCCUGGACUACAACAUGGUUAUCAUCUUCCUCAUGGCUGUCGGGACGGUGGCCGUCGGAGGGUACUGGGCCGGUAGCAAGGACAUCAAGAAGCGUUACCUGAAGCACAAGCGUGAUGACAGCGUGGAGAAGCAGGACGAGGAGACGGUGGACGUGACGCCCAUCAUGAUCUCUGUGUUCGUUGUCAUGUGCUGCUCCAUGCUGGUGCUGCUCUACUUCUUCUACGACCAACUGGUUUAUAUGAUCAUUGGGAUAUUCUGCCUGGCCUCGUCUGUUGGCCUGUACAGCUGUCUCUGGCCCUUUGUUAGGAGACUCCCCUUCGGGAAGUGCAGGAUCCCAGAGAACAACUUGCCUUACUGCCACAAGAGGCCUCAGGUCCGCAUGCUGCUGUUGUCAGCCUUCUGCAUCGGAGUCAGCGUCACCUGGGGUGUGUUCCGCAACGAAGACCAGUGGGCGUGGGUGUUACAAGACGCCCUGGGCAUAGCCUUCUGUCUCUACAUGCUCAAGACUAUCAGACUGCCCACGUUUAAGGCCUGCACCAUGCUGCUGGUGACCCUGUUUGUCUACGAUGUUUUCUUUGUUUUUAUUACUCCUCUCUUCACCAAGAGUGGUCAUAGUAUCAUGGUGGAGGUGGCGGCUGGGCCCUCUGACUCCUCCACACAUGAAAAGCUUCCUAUGGUGCUCAAAGUACCCCGCCUCAACUCCUCCCCUCUGGCUCUGUGUGACAGGCCCUUUUCUCUGCUUGGAUUUGGAGACAUCUUAGUCCCAGGUCUGCUGAUAGCCUACUGUCACAGGUUUGACAUCCUAAUGCAGUCCUCACGGUUCUAUUUCCUGGCCUGCACUAUCGGUUAUGGUAUCGGGCUGCUCAUCACCUUCGUAGCUCUGGCCCUGAUGCAGAUGGGUCAACCGGCCCUGUUAUACCUGGUGCCUUGCACCCUCCUCUCCAGCCUGGCGGUGGCGCUGUGGCGCAAAGAGCUGCCAUUAUUCUGGACAGGAAGUGGAUUUGUGGUGAUUACCAGUUUGAUUUGAGUGCCUUCUUCUUCUACGGAAAGAAACAUUUCUAGUGUUUUGUACCACAAAGUAAACCUAGAAUUUAAACCUCCCAUAGUUCUGCAACCAAUCAACUGUAUGCAAACCCCAGGACCACCCACAGAUGACCCCCUCACCAAUCCUGAGCCACAAGGUCCUGAUGCAACCAAUCAGAGUGAGGACACUCCCCUUCCAGAGAAAGAGACCAGCAAAUCAGAGUAAAGGACUUCUAGGAUGCCAAUUUCUUAUUCAUUUCAUUUUAUUUUUGACACAUAGGAUCUCAAUGGAACACUAUAAGUUCUUAAACAAAUGAUAAACAUUUCAGUGCAGUUGGUGUGAAAAAGGGUAAGAAAAAGACAGACGGGAGAGAGGGAGGGCACUCAACCUACAGUGGCAGUUCUUCACCGUGUGAAACACCUUGGGGUCAGCAGGGAUCAGCACUGGCUGAGAGUCCUGGAUGAUGCGCUGUAGACCCAGGUCAAAGAGCACAACAUACACAGCCCCGGCUGCGACCUACGCUGACUUAACGCCCCUCUCAUGAGUUUUAUCAUCCCGUCACAUAAAAUAGACGUUUCGUCUCCAAACUCUCCUGUCCUCCAGUUCGUCAUUUAUCCCACCAGUCCUAUGCAAAAUAGCAGUCAACAAUCUCCACAACUAGAAGGUCAAUGUGUUGCAGUCCUACCACCAGAAGCUCUGUCGGUUAGCUUGUUCCCAAUUUUUCCCAAUCUCCUUUAUUAAGCACCUGGAAGAAGAAGAACCACACUACGGCCUGUCUCUCUGUUUAUGACAGAGGAAGUAUCUACCGUACAUACCCUAUAUCAUGUGGUGCUAUCAUGGAUUCUCAACGACCUAAACGGUAUAGAAUGAUUAUCGAUUUAGGGGGUCAAAGGGCCGGUUUCCUAGUGAACUAAAAAAAAGCAAGCUUAAUGGAGAAUCUCCUUGUAAAUUGAUAUAAAUCCUGGAUAAGGCUUAAUCCGUGCCCGGGAAACCUUCUCCAAUGGUUUAAAUCUGACCUUUUAUUGUUUUUGCAUGCUAUGGGUUUGGUUUAAACCAGGCUGUCAACAAUAGUGUGUGGUUUAUAUAGUAGCUUACACACUGUCUUUAUAUAAUACUAAGGGUGCAACAGUUAAUGUUGUCCACACCGUUUCUCUAGUAGAUUUUGUGGUCCCAUUUUCCAUUAGGUGUAAAACCCAUGUAUUUAUGUGGUAGAUACAUACAGUAGUAUAUAGGUGUAAUUACAUUGUAGGCAGCUAGGUUCAAAUAGUACUUAAACAUGUUUAACAGUUUUUAAAGUUGUAACUAAUCAAUUACACUAACUACUUACUGGUAUGUAGCUACCAUGUGAACACAUGGGUUAUAAGGAGACCUAAUGUAGAGCGACCGAUUUUGGUUAUAUAAUUCAUAUUGUCUUAAUGGGUUUUGGCCUUACUGGUGUCCAUGGUUACAAUUGGAAUGUCUCUGUGCAUAGUGCUUUAUGAAGACAGAGUUCUGUAUUCAUGUGUUAGUUUAUUAUGUUUCUUAAACUGAUAAGUGAUACUUUAUGUUGUUUGGGGGGAGGGGGGAGGUUGUCUCAUGAUAAUAAACUCAGCAACAACAAAAAAAACGUC